rnacentral:lncRNA from 1 species
CUCCCCCCCCCCCCCCCCCCCCCCGCCGCCCCAGUGACCAGCAGCCUGUUCCCUAGAGUUGGUCUGUUUCUCGGUUUAUCAGCCUCUCCUUCCCCCCUUUGCUCAUAUGUUUUGUUUCUUAAAUUCCACAUGAAUGAAAUUGCAUAGUUUGUCUCUCCCCGGCCGACUCGCCCCCCUCGGCAUCACGCCCUCCGGCUCCCCCCACGUCGGUGUAAAUGGCGAGAUCUCCCCCCUCUGACGGCCGAGUGACACCCGGGGUGCGCAGGGACCACGUCUCCUCCCUCCAGCAUCUGUCCGUGGACGUCGAGGCUCCUCCCGCAGCGCGGCCCCCGUGGACACGGCCCCUGGGAACGCGGGGGUGCAGGUGCCCCUGCAGCUCACCGCCUCUGGGCUGCGGGGUCAGUACCCAGCAGUGCAAUUGCCGGGUCGGAGGGCAGCUCCGUGUCCGGCUCCUCGAGGCCACCCGCCCCCCCUGUCCCCACGGUGGCCGCCCACCUGUGUUCCCACCAGCCGCAGAGAAGCUCCCCUUUCUCCACAUCCUCCCUGCACCUGUUGCCUCCCGACGGUGGCCGUCCUGCCGGGCGUGCGGGGGGAUCUCUCUGCUGUAAACGUUUUGACAGACGUGUGCUCACCUGGUACACGUGUUUAUGUGCCUUCAUCUGGGUUCUUUUCUGAGCACGAAAGUGAUGCAACCUCACACCAGAGAGAAUAUGGAAAAGACACGAAAUACGGGAAAGGACAAGAAAGUGCCACAGCCUGCGCCGCAGCAGCCGACUCCCCUCCAUCCAGAGUCCGGAGCCUCUCUGUCCCCGAGCGCCGCACCGGCCCCCAGGCCACUGUACGUGAACACGUACACGUGUUCACGUACAGCUGCACCCCUGCACCUGCGUGGGGAGCCAGGCCGGGCCCCCGGGCCUCGAGCACACUGCUGCCCUGGGGGACCGCGAGCCGGGAGGAUUCGGGACGCUGGGGGUGCGGGGCUCCACGGCCCUGCCCCUGCUUGGAGAGGAAGGGAGGUGGGCACAGAGGCCUUUCUCGCAUCCCCGACGGCCGCCUGGGCCCGCUGACCCUCCGUGGUGGGGCAUCAGGACCUGGGGGUCCCCGGCUGAGGUCGCAGAGCCGGCCCUCGGGGAGCGGGUCUUCACCCUCGGGCUGCCCGCCGUGCACGGUGCCCCGGGACCCGGGAGGGGAGCCCCCCGGCCAGAGCGCCCAGAACCCCUGGGUGGGGGUCAGCGUCUAUCCUGGGGAGCAGCUGCAGGGAGACGUGCACGGCACUUCAGGGGGCACGUGAGCAGCACCGUGACCCCAGCGCAGGGGGUCAGCUGGACAUCCAGGGGGUCCCAGGUGGGGGCUGCAGAGCCCUGGAGGGCGGGCAGCAGGGUGGCCACAGGUCUGAAACGACCCUGGGGAGCGGCUGGCUGCGGGGGGGCCUGGCGGGGCAACACCGCCAGCCUGGCAGGGAGG